rnacentral:rRNA from 1 species
CCAUGCAAGUCGAGCGGAGAUAUAUGGAAGGUUUACCGGAAAUAUAUUCUUAGCGGCGGACGGGUGAGUAACGCGUGGGCAACCUACCUCGUACAGGGGGAUAACACAGGGAAACUUGUGCUAAUACCGCAUGAAAUCAUAGUAUGGCAUCAUACAAUGAUCAAAGGAGUAAUCCGGUAUGAGAUGGGCCCGCGUCCGAUUAGCUAGUUGGUGGGGUAAAGGCCUACCAAGGCGACGAUCGGUAGCCGAACUGAGAGGUUGAUCGGCCACAUUGGGACUGAGACACGGCCCAGACUCCUACGGGAGGCAGCAGUGGGGAAUAUUGCGCAAUGGGGGGAACCCUGACGCACCAACGCCGCGUGAAGGAAGAAGGCCUUCGGGUUGUAAACUUCUUUGAUUGGGGACGAAUAAUGACGGUACCCAAAAAACAAGCCACGGCUAACUACGUGCCAGCAGCCGCGGUAAUACGUAGGUGGCGAGCGUUGUCCGGAAUUACUGGGUGUAAAGGGCGUGUAGGCGGGGGAGCAAGUCAGAUGUGAAAUCCCGGGGCUCAACUCCGGAGUUGCAUCUGAAACUGUUUUUCUUGAGUGCUGGAGAGGAAAGCGGAAUUCCUAGUGUAGCGGUGAAAUGCGUAGAUAUUAGGAGGAACACCAGUGGCGAAGGCGGCUUUCUGGAUAGUAACUGACGCUGAGGCGCGAAAGCGUGGGGAGCAAACAGGAUUAGAUACCCUGAUAGUCCACGCCGUAAACGAUGGAUACUAGGUGUAGGAGGUAUCGACCCCUUCUGUGCCGGAGUUAACACAAUAAGUAUCCCACCUGGGGA